GCAGAGUAAAUUUGUGUGCGUAAUAUCGUUUUUACAGCGAUGAUAAGUGUCAUGCGAACGGGGAGUUGUCGUGUGAACGAAAAGGGAUUCCUGCGGUACACAAAUUGCAUCCCGCUG
rnacentral:ncRNA from 1 species